GACUUAGUAUGGAAAUUAUAAAUUCAUUCUUGACUUUUCUUUUUUAUAUUAGGCUUUCUCCUGUUUCUCAGAGGAUUUAUCAAUUAUGCGAAAGUUCGGAAGAUGCCGGAUACCUUCUCAAAUCUCCCCAGGACCAGAGUUCUCUUUAUUUAUUAAAGAUGUUUUCUGGCAGAGGCCUUCCUGCAUUUAUGAAUUCUCUCUCAAGAAGCAAGAGAACACCUGCAGGAAGUGAAUCAAGAUGCAGAACACAGAGGAAUAAUUACCUGCUUUAAAAACAAAAUGUACUGUCGAAAAAGAUCAUUUCUCUCUAUUUGUUCCUAGGUGUAAAAUUUUAAUAGUUAAUGCAAAAUUCUGUAAUCAUUGAAUCAUUAGUGGUUAAUGUUUGAAAAAGCUCUCGCAAUCAAGUCUGUGAUGUAUUAAUAAUGCCUUAUCGUUUGUAGUCAUUUUAAAUAGCAUGAGCCUUGUCCCUGUAGUCAGUAGGGGGCAAUCUUGCUUUAUUCAUCCUCCAUCUCAAAAAUGAAUUUGGAAUUAAAUAUUUUAGUGUAAGAUAUGUAUAAUGCUGGCCAUUUAAAAGGGGUUUUCUCAAAAGUUAAAACUUUUGUUAUGACUGCAUUUCUGCACAUAAUCCAUUUUGCUGUUAAAAUUAAUCUAGAAAUUUAUUUAAUCGUACUGUGAACACCUGGAAGCAAAAUCAUAGUGCAAAAUACAUUUAAGGUGUGGUCAAGAAUAUAUUCUUAAUUGGUAAAUAAUAAGCAUUAAUUUUUCAUAGUCUGUAUUCUAAUUUUGCAGUAUCUUAUUCUGUGUUGUGUACCUAAGGGAUUGUAAAGGUGUUGUCACUGUAUAAAAUAGAAAGGACAAGGACAAAUGCAGCCUAAUUACUAAAAUGCAAUUCUUGACACUUUCUGUAUGAUUAUAGACCCUACCCCUUUUUUUCUUUUUCUUUUGUCUCCUGAUGAUUAGAACAGGGGCUGGGAGUAGGGAGGGGAUUAGGUACUAGGAGCAAAGAAAGAAUUAGCUUGGAACUUUUGAGAUGAUCCCUAACAUACUGUAUUCCUUGCUUUUACAACGUGUUAGCAGAGACCAAUGUGUUAUAAAUGUAGAGUGAUGUGCUUUCUGCCAAGUGGUAAUUCUCCUUGGUUUGCUAUGUUAAAACUGUAAAUAAACAAAACAUUAAUAAACGUCUCUUGUGUAGCAA